rnacentral:rRNA from 1 species
AAAGCCUGAUCCAGCCAUGCCGCGUGUGUGAAGAAGGUCUUCGGAUUGUAAAGCACUUUAAGUUGGGAGGAAGGGUUGUAGAUUAAUACUCUGCAAUUUUGACGUUACCGACAGAAUAAGCACCGGCUAACUUCGUGCCAGCAGCCGCGGUAAUACGAAGGGGGCUAGCGUUGUUCGGAAUCACUGGGCGUAAAGCUCACGUAGGCGGACUUUUAAGUCAGGGGUGAAAUCCCGGGGCUCAACCUCGGAACUGCCUUUGAUACUGGAAGUCUGGAGUCCGAGAGAGGUGAGUGGAACUCCGAGUGUAGAGGUGAAAUUCGUAGAUAUUCGGAAGAACACCACUGGCGAAGGCGGCUCACUGGCUCGGUACUGACGCUGAGGUGCGAAAGCGUGGGGAGCAAACA